rnacentral:misc_RNA from 1 species
AAAGCGUGCGGUACUCUGCCGCCGUUGAAAAUGUUUCGUCUACCCUCUCGACGCCCCUUCUAGUAGUUGUUUUUCCUAGCAGUACCCGUCCAGCAGAUUUAACCGUACAUAUUAUUUCGGCAAAACACCGCCCAACGGCAUUAUUUUAUUUUUUAUAAAGGUUAUAAAUUUAUGAGCACAGCAACAGGUUCUGUUAAGUGGUUCAAUGAAAGCAAAGGUUUUGGUUUUAUUUCUCAAGAUGGUGGUCCAGAUGUAUUCGUUCACCACACUGCAAUUUUAGGCACUGGCUUCAAAACUUUAGCAGAAGGCCAACAAGUGUCUUUUGAAGUAACU